rnacentral:rRNA from 1 species
UACGGAGGUGCGAGCGUUGUCCGGAAUCACUGGGCGUAAAGGGCGCGUAGGCGGCCUGAUAAGUAGGGGGUGAAAUCCUGCGGCUUAACCGCAGGGCUGCCUUCUAAACUGUCAGGCUUGAGCACAGUAGAGGCAGGUGGAAUUCCCGGUGUAGCGGUGGAAUGCGUAGAGAUCGGGAAGAACAUCAGUGGCGAAGGCGGCCUGCUGGGCUGUUGCUGACGCUGAGGCGCGACAGCGUGGGGAGCAAACAGG